rnacentral:rRNA from 1 species
GAUUGACGGAGCGAAGCGACGUCAAAGCGUAUACAAAGUCGAGUCGGUUUAAGGAUACGUUCGUUGGGUAGGGGAGCGUUCUGUAAGCCUGUGAAGGUGUGUCGUGAGGCAUGCUGGAGGUAUCAGAAGUGCGAAUGCUGACAUAAGUAACGAUAAAGCGGGUGAAAAGCCCGCUCGCCGGAAGACCAAGGGUUCCUGUCCAACGUUAAUCGGGGCAGGGUGAGUCGACCCCUAAGGCGAGGCCGAAAGGCGUAGUCGAUGGGAAACGGGUUAAUAUUCCCGUACUUGGUGUUACUGCGAAGGGGGGACGGAGAAGGCUAUGUUGGCCGGGCGACGGUUGUCCCGGUUUAAGCGUGUAGGCUGGUUUUCCAGGCAAAUCCGGAAAAUCAAGGCUGAGGCGUGAUGACGAGGCACUACGGUGCUGAAGCAACAAAUGCCCUGCUUCCAGGAAAAGCCUCUAAGCAUCAGGUAACAUCAAAUCGUACCCCAAACCGACACAGGUGGUCAGGUA